GUGUGGCUUUGUGAUUAUGUCUGAACUCAGGCUUUCGGUUUCUCCCCGAACAAGCCACAAGCAAUAAUUAAGGUUUAUUCCUGACUUACUGCUCACUGUUCAUUUAGAGAGAGAAACUGAAAGCCUGGAUUCAGACAUCACAUAUUUCUUUUC